UUAACACAUGCAAGUCGAACGAUGAAGCCCUUCGGGGUGGAUUAGUGGCGAACGGGUGAGCAACACGUGGGCAAUCUGCCCUUCACUCUGGGACAAGCCCUGGAAACGGGGUCUAAUACCGGAUAACACUCUGUCCCGCAUGGGACGGGGUUAAAAGCUCCGGCGGUGAAGGAUGAGCCCGCGGCCUAUCAGCUUGUUGGUGGGGUAAUGGCCUACCAAGGCGACGACGGGUAGCCGGCCUGAGAGGGCGACCGGCCACACUGGGACUGAGACACGGCCCAGACUCCUACGGGAGGCAGCAGUGGGGAAUAUUGCACAAUGGGCGAAAGCCUGAUGCAGCGACGCCGCGUGAGGGAUGACGGCCUUCGGGUUGUAAACCUCUUUCAGCAGGGAAGAAGCGAAAGUGACGGUACCUGCAGAAGAAGCGCCGGCUAACUACGUGCCAGCAGCCGCGGUAAUACGUAGGGCGCAAGCGUUGUCCGGAAUUAUUGGGCGUAAAGAGCUCGUAGGCGGCUUGUCACGUCGGAUGUGAAAGCCCGGGGCUUAACCCCGGGUCUGCAUUCGAUACGGGCUAGCUAGAGUGUGGUAGGGGAGAUCGGAAUUCCUGGUGUAGCGGUGAAAUGCGCAGAUAUCAGGAGGAACACCGGUGGCGAAGGCGGAUCUCUGGGCCAUUACUGACGCUGAGGAGCGAAAGCGUGGGGAGCG
rnacentral:rRNA from 1 species